GCCCCUGUAGCUCAACUGGAUAGAGUAGGAGUGUUCUAAACUCAAGGUUGCAGGUUCGAGUCCUGCCAGGGGCACCA
rnacentral:tRNA from 1 species